rnacentral:rRNA from 1 species
AUUGAACGCUGGCGGCAGGCUCAACACAUGCAAGUCGAGCGGGGUGAUGGUGCUUGCACUAUCACUUAGCGGCGGACGGGUGAGUAAUGCUUAGGAAUCUGCCUAUUAGUGGGGGGCAACAUCUCGAAAGGGAUGCUAAUACCGCAUACGUCCUACGGGAGAAAGCAGGGGAUCAUUUGUGACCUUGCGCUAAUAGAUGAGCCUAAGUCGGAUUAGCUAGUUGGUGGGGUAAAGGCCUACCAAGGCGACGAUCUGUAGCGGGUCUGAGAGGAUGAUCCGCCACACUGGGACUGAGACACGGCCCAGACUCCUACGGGAGGCAGCAGUGGGGAAUAUUGGACAAUGGGGGGAACCCUGAUCCAGCCAUGCCGCGUGUGUGAAGAAGGCCUUAUGGUUGUAAAGCACUUUAAGCGAGGAGGAGGCUCUUUUGGUUAAUACCCAAGAUGAGUGGACGUUACUCGCAGAAUAAGCACCGGCUAACUCUGUGCCAGCAGCCGCCGUAA